rnacentral:lncRNA from 1 species
UGGGAUGAUUCCAGAGCUUCUUUACAAUCUCUCUCGUGUCCAUGACUUUCUCACUUUUCUUCUUCAACAAAGCAGAGGCACAUUUUUUUUCAAAGGACCAUGGUUUAGUGGUAUGGAUUUUUUGUUGGUUGGUGAUCCCAUGAACGUCCAUCACAUUUUAAGCAAGAACUUCGCAAACUAUCCCAAAGGUCCUGAGUUCAAGCAGAUUUUUGAACCUCUGGGAGAUGGAAUUUUCAAUUCUGAUUUUGAUAAUUGGAGCAUUCAAAGGCGGAUAUUUCAUUGCAUAUUACUCAAGAACAACAAGUUUGAGUUGGCUGUAGAUAUUACUUUGAAGCAAAAGAUCUUACAAAGCCUACUUCCAAUUAUGGAAAAUGUUUCACAAGUAGAUAUACAAGAUGUCUUUCAACGGUUCACAUUUGAUAAUAUCUGCCAGUUAGUGUUAGGCUUUGAUCCAAAUUCCCUUUCUAUUGAAUUCCCUCAAAUUCCUUAUCAGCAAGCUUUUGAUGACAUGGGGGAGACUUUCAUUUACCGGCAUGCAGUGCCUGGAAGCAUUUGGAAGGCGCAAAAGUGGCUUCAGAUAGGGAAAGAGAAAAAGUUCAAGCAAGCCUGGAAGAUCUUUGAUGAAUUUUUGGAGCAAUGUCUUACAAGAAAGCGAGAGCAAUUAAGCCAAAACUGUAGAGAUCAAAUAGAAGGAGAGGGUUUCGACUUGUUAACGUACUUUUUGGCAGAAGAUGAUGAUUUUGAAGCAACUGCAGCAAAAAUUGGCAUUCAGACAAAAUCAAAUAAGUUUCUAAGAGAUAUGGCGUUUAAUCUCUUUCUAGCUGGAAGAGAUACCAUAGGUGCUAGUCUUAUUUGGCUCUUUUGGCUUGUUGGAACACACCCAUCUGUAGAAAAAAAGAUUUUGGAAGAGAUCAAAGAAAAUCUAGGAGAAAAAACUAAUGAAAAACGGAGGGUUUUCAGUACUGAAGAGGUAAGAAAACUAGUUUAUCUUCAUGCAGUGAUAUGUGAGGUUUUAAGGCUGUAUCCAUCAGUACCUUUUGAGCACAAAGUGUCAAUCGAAGAAGACAUAUUGCCUAGCGGGCAUAAUGUGCCUAAAAACAUGAGGAUUUUAUUCUCCUUCUAUUCGAUGGGAAGGAUGGAAGAAAUUUGGGGUAAAGAUUGCUUAGAGUUCAAACCAGAGAGGUGGAUUUCAGAGAGAGGAAGAAUCAAACAUGUGCCAUCUUACAAGUUCGUAGCAUUCAAUGCAGGACCCAGGAGUUGUCUAGGUAAGGAAUUGGCCUUUAUACAAAUGAAAACUAUAGUUUCUUUUGUUAUAUGGAAUUAUUCUCUUCAAGUGGUUGAAAACCAAUCUGUUAGUCCAAGUGUUUCUUUAUUACUUUAUAUGAAAAAGGGUUUGAAAGUUAGGGUUUUUAAAAGAUUUGCUCCUUGAAAAGGUUACUCCAUCUAAUGGAAAACCAUGUAUGUAUCCGUUGAGUAAAUCUAGAACUCUUAAUUGUACUUUUCUAGUUAAUUUAAAUAAAAGUUGCAUUUAAAAUUUUUGUAUAUAUUAUAACUUAUAAAUAAAAUCAUAUUCAUAAUUUAGCUUGGUUGAAGAUUGUGUGCAAUAAUUUUGUAGGGAAUUAUUUAUUAGGUUACGUGAAUGUAAUGUCCAAUAAUUGGUCAAGUUGCGUGCAUGAGAAAUAAUACAGAAAUGGGAAUUGAAGAAGGAAGCAGAAAGAGACAGUUUACCGCUCGUUAGUUCCUAUCUAAUUGAAUAGUGCUACUUUCAAGAGUAGGAUAAGAUAAGAUAGGAUAGGAUAUUUAUCGCUGGUUAGUUCCUAUCUAAUUGAAUAGAACUACUUUUAAGAGUAGGAUAGGAUAGGAUAGGAUAGUAUUGGAUAGGGUAGGAUCGGGCUGAGUAAAAUUAUAAUCUAACCGAGUUGAGUCAAAGUUUGAUAAUUCAUAUUGAAUUAGAAUAUAAAUUUAAAAAUUUAAACUCCAUUCGAAUUUUAUUUAUAAAUACAAAUUUAAUUUAUAAAAUAAAUAUUAAACUCGAAUUUAAUUUAAACUCGAUUCGUAAUAAACUCAUUUAUCAUAUUAAUAACCCAACUCAAAUUUUACUCAAAAAAUUUGAAUUUGAUUUCAUUUAAAUUUAAAUUUUAAUUCAAUUAUAUUAUAGAUACGUAGAAUAUAAUUUAAAUUCAUUUAAAUUAGAAAUAAAUUUAAAUUAUAAAAUUAUUAAAAAAAUUUUAAAUUAAUUUUUUUAUUUAAUUAAAAUUUUUAAAUAUAAAAUUAAUAAAAAAUUAUAGAAGGGCUGUUUUUUUAUAAAAAAAGCCAUAACCGUUCAUAUCCCUUUAAUUUUUGAUGUGGAAUUGGUUGGCGAACGAACAUAUUCAUGAACUUAUUUGCGAGUCUGCUCGCGAAAUUGUUUGUAAAUCUGUUCAUGAAUUAACUCGUGAGUUUGUUUAUAAACUUGAAAAUAAGUCGAGCUAACGAGUCUAAAUGAAUGGAAUAUUGUUAAAUUUAAUUUUAACUUAUUUAUUAAACGAGUUUAAAAAGUGAGUUCGAGAUUAGACUUGUUUAGAAAACGAGACGAGAACGAUCAAAAUUUUAUUAAGUUAAAUUUUGAAUAACUCAUAAACAGUUUAAUUCGUUUAUAUUUUUAGGUGUGAGACUUGUUUUUGAAGAAGUUGAAUUUUAAAUAUGAAGUAAUUUAAAAAAUUUAAGGAAAAAUAUUUUAUUUUUUUAAUAAAUUUAUUCAGUGUAAAUUUAAAUUAAUUAAAAUAAUAAAAUUUAAAAUAUAUUAAAUAAAAACAGUGCUAUAUGGCUUAAAUUGAGCCAUUUUAAAUGUAUUGAAUUGAAUUAAAAAUAAUGGCUGAAAUCAUGAUUUGAUUCAUUAAAAAGUUAAAAGUAUUUAUAUAUUAGGAGAGAUGAGAGAUGUUUUUUUGCGUGAGGUUGUGCACCCGGUGCACGCUGGGUUUAGAUUUUUAUUUUUAUUUUAUUUUAUUAUAUAUUAAAAUAAUAAUAAAACGCUGUUAACUUGAAAAAAUCUAUUCUUAGCUUAAAUUUCAGAUAUUUUUAAAUAUUAACAAACUAGUAAUAAUAAUAAUAAUUAUAACAACGUACCUUUUAAAAUAAAAUUUAUUUAAUAUAAUAAUUAAUAAUCUAGAGAGUAAAAUUCAUAUAUGUGAGUGAAUUUAAUUUAAAUAAUUUUUUAUUUAUUUAUUUUUUAAUAAUGUAUAAUUUGUCUCUCUAUUACAGUGUUAUCUGUCACUAUUAUAUAAAAUUGUAUGUACAAAUGUACUCUUCUUUAUUUAUAUCAUCAAACAACUAUUUAAUUUUAUUCGGUAUUUUUGCUGAUAGAGUCAUGAGUGCAGAUGAAUUUGUUUCUCUUAUGAACUCAUCAAAUCAAGUGAACUGAAUUUUUAUUUAUUGAGCCUAAAUUUUAGUCUCCCAAAUCUACUGAAAUGUGGUCUAAAUUGUAUAUUAGUAGACAGAUUUGCUUUUCAUGAAUUUUGAAUCUGAUUUUCUCACGAAACUGGUCUGAAAUAUGGCGAUUAUCAAUAAUAAUCUUUAAAAUAAGUUUUAAUUUAUUUAUAAAAAUACAAUAUUAAAUAUAUUAAUUUGAAUAUAUUUAAUAACUAAAAUUCCUAAAACCAAAAAUUUAAUUUAAUGUUAUAAUAAUUAUUAUUAUAAUACUUGUUUUAUAAUUUUUACUAUAUUUAAAUAUGAAAAUUAUAAAAUCACUAAACAAAACAUAAUUAUAUAAUAAAAAUAAUUUAAUUUUAAAAAACUUAAAAUUCUUAAUAAUCAUAAUAUUAAUAAAAUAACAUUUCAAAUAAUAUUACUAUAUUUAUUUUACUUAAAUUAUAUUACUAUAUAAGAUAUUACUAUAUUUUGUCAGCUAAAAACAAACUCACUAAUUGAUAAAUCUAAUUUUCCUCUUGCUCCAUUUGAUAGAUCUGGUUUCUUUCUGGUCCAUUUGAUAGAUCUGGUUUUCUUUUCGGUCUAUCAUAUGGGUCUCUCAAUACUUGAUUCGAAGAAAAAAUCUGCAAAAUGAAGAAAGAUGGUCAGGGGUCUACCGGGGAUGCCCCGGUGGUCAAGUCAGAUUUUAUGAACUAGAGUAGUAUGGAUAGGCAAGAAUUGCAGAGAGAAAGAUAAAGAAAAAUGGAGUUCAGGAAGAAGAAGGAAGAAGAGGAGGACCUCCUUUCCGUCUGCUCGUAUGUAUAUCUGCCUCUCUACUACAAUGCUAGUUGUCUCUGUCACUCAGCUCCGUACGUAUGGAUGUGUCAGGGCUCCUCUCUAUGCCAGGCGGCCAUUUAAUUCUCUUCGGCGCGCAUGCGGGCAGGGCUGCGAGGUGAUUGGGCAUACUAUUCUUUCUCACAUCACUUCAUUGGGCUGGACUUCUUCUCAUUGGACCCGGACUCAUGGUGGACCCGGCCUACCCCACGCGUCCGGUUGAGGCUCGAGACACUGGGUCAGUCUUGCUUAAGGAGAGCUUGAUGGGUUUUGGGCCAUUGUUCUCCUCUUGGACCCGGCCUCGUCCAGGGUAGAGGAAGCCCGGCGGUCAUCAAUUGCCCCUUUACCUCCUCGGCAGUUAUUACAUGAGUGGCGAGGGGAUAAAUCCCUAAACUCCAUUUAUGAUCGCGUGGCCCGAGAAUUGCUCUUGUCAAAAGCGUCCUUUCCUUGCCUUUUUAUUUCUUUGUCUCUUUACUUUGAUGUUUGAAUGUAUGGCGAUCUGGAGAUGUGUAUUUGAUGAUAAAUGAUAUUUCACCCCGGCCUGUACCUCAUUAUUAUUUUUUACUCAGACUAUCUUCUGGCUUUGUCAAUAUUACUUAAUUGAUGGACCAGGCUAUCUCUACUGGGACUUUGCUAAUCUAACUAACCUGGGCUAAGAGCUCGGCGUCUAGCUAAGCUUCUGACUUACGAGUUUUUCUUAUUUUCAUGAGGGUAUUUCUGUUUUUGGCUCAUGACCUCGUCAGUGCUGCGAGCUCGGAUACAUAAUACCUAGAGGAAUGUCUUAUUUGCAUGAGUGUCCCGCAUUAGCCGAUUUUAAAUCUUAUUCUUAUUACGAGCUCGGACAUCUUUUUCUUUUGGAUGUAACCUUCGGGCAGUCAGUGCGGUCUGAGCUGUGUGCUCCAUUGGGAUAGGGAGCUUAGCCUUUUGUCGUUUUUCUCUUCCUGGGUCAUCUUUGCUAAGUGUUUGUUUACUAUGAGUUAAUUCGAGCUGUGAGCACGGCCCCUCGCUUUCGUUUAUUUUUUUGUGCAUUUCUGCAUUUGCAGGCCUUUUCACAUAGGGAGCUCGGCUCUUUGGUAUAUCUUCUAUAUUUAGCUUUACUCAGCUUUGUUGUUUACUUGUCAUGAGUCCGUCCGUACUUUUUUGUCCUUUGCUUAGGCUUUUAUGCCUAUAGCCUGUGAUGUUGUUUGUGCUACGAGCUCAAUAGUUCAGAAUUUCACUUUCUUCACUUUGGUGCCCCGAGCUCUUUUGUGAAGUCAGACUUAAUUUUUUGCUUUCUUGUCGAGCCUUAUACGGGCUAUGUUUUAGUCUGACUGCUUGUUUGUUUGGCUUUAACUUUUCUUUUAUAGGCUUAUAGCCUUGCUGGUAUAGACAUAAGGCCACUCCAAGCUUCUGGGGAGAUCGACCCUGAAUUGAAGAGAUCGGACUAUCUGUUUUGGACUUGACCAUACUGCGGUUCAAUUCUUUUGUAUCCUAAUGAGUCAGGGCUUUCUACUGCCCUAUCCGGUCAUUCAGAAUGGUUUAUUCAGCCUUUUACGCUGCUUCUGUCUCCUUGAUUCUUUAUCUGAGCAUUUGGUUCUUGGGUAUGUCUCAGUUCGUUGGGUUUUUUGCCCCCGAGUGUUUUAUGGGCUGUCUACCCUCGAACGUUUUGCAGGCUCUUUGCUGCUUAGACCUCUCUCUAGGCUAGCUGAGCUGGUUUAGUGCCAGCAGUCAAUUCUCGAGGUCGGUGCCUCUUAUGAUUGCCCCUGGUCCUUUGUUUGGUUCUCUAUCUUGGUAUGCAUUUUGCUUAGGAUUCGCCUCGCCCUAAUUUGGUCUUCCUAUUAACUUUACAAGUACCGAGCUCAUUUUCUUGAGAUCGACAUGGCGCUUUGACGCUUUGGCACCGUGAGCCUUAGAUUAGCCUUUAGUAGGUCGCAUUGCUAUAUGAUAUGGGCGUUGGAGCACCUUAGUUUAAUUUCGUUAUAUGCUGACUAUUUUGCAAGAUCGAGGUCUUAUUACCCUGUAAUCCGAGCUCUUUCGAAAGGUCGGAUUCAUAUUUUUUAUUUCUGUUCCAGCAUCCUCUUGAGGUCAGCAUAGCGCUUUGGCCCUUUUGGGCUGUUGUGUGAGGUCAAAGUCUUUUUACCUUAUGACUCGAGCUCCUUUGGGAGGUAGGAGUUUAACUUUUCAUUUAUGGCCCUGUGCCACAAUCUUUUAUGCGAGGUCGGAACUGCAUUCUUAUGUGUUGUUUUUGCUUGUUGUCAUCGUAUGCCGCUGUUUGCUGAGAGCAUACGGUAUUUUUUAUUAAUAAAAGGCAAAAGAAUAGUUCAUUUCAUCCUCUCAGCUCGGUUUUGUGGUGCUGGCGGUCAUUUUUCGAGACCAAUCACCUACCUCACUGAGGGCUUGCUCAAGAUUCAGGCUCUUAGGCCUUACUGUCGCUUCCAAGCUCUUUAGCCUUGUAUGGGAUUUAGGCUCAUUGGCCUUACUGUCGCUUCGUCAUCUCAGCCGGUUUUGUGGUGCCAGGGGUCAUUUUCCGAGGCCGGUCACCUACCUCACUGAGGUCUUGCGCAAGAUUCAAGCUCUUAGACCUUACUGUCGCUUCCAGGCUCUCUAGCCUUGCAUGGGAUUCAGGCUCAUUGGCUUUACUGUCGCUUCGUCAUAUCAACCGGUUUUGUGGUGCCGGGGGUCAUUUUCCGAGGCCGGUCACCUACCUCACUGAGGUCUUGCGCAAGAUUCAGAAUUUUUUCUGCAAAAUAAGAGGUUGCACAGAGCGUAUAUAACGAGGAUGCUUGUUGUUAAUUCAAUAAUAUUCAUCAAUAAAUAAUAUGUCGCACAUUUCACUUAGUUCAUAUUUCAGAUGAAUGUAAAUAUUAGCUCUAACUAACAAUAUUAACUUGUGCAAUUUAAAGGUUCAAUAAAUAAUAUUUUACAUGUGUAAAUUUCUCAAAAUUUUACUUUACAAAAAGUAAACAUACAUUAUCCUUUUUCUUUAGAAUGUUCAUGCUACUUUUAGAAUAUUCAUGCUACUCUUAACUAGCAAUAAAAGCUCUCCCGCUAAGCUAGUAUAUUAUUAGGCAUAUAUUUGUGUACUCAUGGAAAUUUUAUUCUAAGAUUUAAACUUUAUAAUUAGACAUGAUAUUCUAAGAUAUUUGCAUCUAAAAUAAUAAUAAUAAUUAGAGUUAUGAUGUUACUAAUAUCAUCUGACGCUUGUCAAUUAUAAGAGAAUAAAAAUAUGUAUAACUUAAUUGUGUAUAAAUGCUGCUUAAAAUAUAGACUAGUUAAUUUUAUUUAUUUAUUUACUCAAUAAUAUAUUAAUUAUUUUACAUCGUUGUUAUUUUAUUUUAUUUUUAUCCAAAUAUUGCUAAUUUGAAAAUUGAAAUAAUAAUUAUUUUUCUUUAAUAAUAGAAAACUUCAGUAUUGAUGUAUGAUUAAAAUAUGAAGCGAAGGCAUUUAUGAUAAUACUGCCGCAAUACACUUUAUUAUUAUUAUUAUUAUUAUUAUUAUUAUUAUUAUUAUUAUUAUUAUUAUUAUUAUUAUUAUUAUUAUUAUUAUUAUUAUUCAAAGAGUGUGGAUAUUUACCUCCUAAUGGCUGAGACCCAUUUGGCAGACUUCGUGUACAUUAAAGUAACUCGUAUCGCCAGCUCCUGGUUAUACCCUUUCUUGCAGAUGUUGGGCUUGACGUGUAACCUUGCAUGUCUUGUGGACAACAACAGAACUCACUAUCCACCCUAACAUUGAUCCUCAGCAAGCUCAAGGUUGUUUAUCGAGAUAGAGUUAUUCUUAGAUUUGCUAACUGUCGACUUGGCCGACCUGCUCAAUCAGGUCGUCGUGCUCCACUAAACUCAAGUUCAAAAAUUGCACUCGUCUUCAAGCUGGCCAACAUGUACAACCCAAAUCCCUCCUCAAUCAGUUUGGGCAUCUGAUAAUUUCUUGUUGUCUUCCUGUCGCACCGAUGCUUGAGAGGCGCUGUUGUCCGACCAAAUUGGAUGGCUAUGAGUCGCGUCUGGCUGCUCUACAACUUCAUUCCAUCCUACCAGAAAUGUGAGUCUGACCUCAAACAUGGCUCCGACCUUGAACACGAAUCUAAUUUCGAGCACGGGUCCGACCUCAACGUGUAAUAAUACUGUGAUUGUUGGAUUUGCCAGCUUCUUUGAAUCCUGCUACUCCGACCGACCGACUUGCUAAUUCGAAUCUUGAGGGCAGUCUAGCCAUCCGACCAGGAAUGUGAGACCGACUUCAAACAUGACUUCGACCUCAAGCAUACAUCUAUCCGACUUCACGAUUUCAAUCUCGAGCGUGAGUCCGUCGACUAUUAAGUAUGACCUGAUUUAUUCCUGUGGUUCAAUGUCCAGUCGGGCUCGUAAUGUUUACUGGGAACCUCUUGUUGGUUUGCUGAAGUUGUUCUUUUCAAAUUUGCUUUAUCGACUUGUCUAGGCUCUUCCUCCGACCUGUUGAGCGUGAUCUGCUGGAGCCUUCCCACUCAAAAGCUGAUCAUUUGGUGGUGUCUGUUUUAAUUCUUGAUGGUUGUGGUUUCUCCAUUUGCAGACAUAUGGUGUUGGCUCCAUCAUGUCCACCCAUCUGGAUUGACAGGUGGCGUCGUGCCAACCUCACUUGUUGGAGUUCGAUCAGACUAGCAAUCUUCUUUAUUAACAACUUCUUCAUUAGGUCGACGCAUCCUUGGCAGCUCAAGCUCUUUCCAAUCUUGCUAUUCCAACCAACCGACCUCUCGAUGCUCCGACCAACGAACUCUGUCGAAGUCCUGAAUCAAAAUUUGUGCUCGGUAGAGUUUGAGUUUCUUGCUCAAAGCCUUCCAUACUCUACCUCUCUAACUUGCUACUUGGGACUUUAUACCUGACCUGCCCAUCUAACCUUUACAACAUAUAUACGGUCAACCUCACAAUUUCAACAAAUAUAUACAUCAUUGAUUCUUUUUCUUUUUAUAGAAAAGAUUAAAAUUUUAUAUUCACAGAUAAUCUAAAGUUUCACUCUACUGGAUUUCAAAGAAAAAAUUAGUAGUAAUAAAAUUCAAUAAGCAUUAAAGUAAACUAUCUGAAAGACUAUUAAAAGAUUCUUGAAUAUAAUAAAUCUUUCUUUUCAGCUGGGUUAUUGCAAACCUCUAACUUUCUUUUAGCACAAACUUUCAUACAUUCACGUGGAUCUCAAUAGGUGAAUUUAGGAACUUUAGAGAUAGUAAAAUCUCUUUCGUUCCCACAGACGGUGCCAAUUGAUAAAUUUGAUUUUCCUCCUGCUCCAUUUGAUAGAUCUGGUUUUUCUCCUGCUCUAUUUGAUAGAUCUGGUUUUCCUCCUGCUCCAUUUGAUAGAUCUAGUUUUCUUUUUGGUCUAUCAUAUGGGUCCCCCAAUACUUGAUUCGAAGAAGAAAUCUGCAAAAUAAAGAAAGAUGGUUAGGGGUCUACCGGGGAUGCCCCGGUGGAGACCCCCCGACGUUCAAGUCAAAUUUUAUGAACUAGAGUAGUAUGGAUAGGCAAGAAUUGCAGAGAGAAAAAUAAAGAAAAAUGGAGUUUAGGAAGAAGAAGAAAGAAGAGGAGGACCCACUUUCUGUCUGCUCGUGAUGUAUAUCUGUCUCUCUGCUACAAUGCUAGUUGUCUCUGUCACUCAGCUCCGUACGUACGGAUGUGUCAAGGCUCCUCUCCAUGCUAAGCAGCCAUUUAAUUCUCUCCGGCGCACAUGCGGGUAGGGCUGCGAGGUGAUUGGGCAUACUAUUCUUUCUCACAUCACUUCAUUGGGCUGGACUUCUUUUCAUUGGACCCGGGCUCAUGGUGGACCCGGCCUACUCCGCGCGUCCGGGUCGAGGCUCGAGACGCUGGGUCGGUCUUGUUUAAGGAGAGCUUGAUGGGCUUUGGGCCAUUGUUCUCCUCUUGGGCCCGGUCUCAUCCAAGGUAGAGGAAGCCCGGCGGUCAUCACUAAUUAAAAUUUAAAUUUUAUAUAUCAAAAAAAUUUAUAUUAUAUUUAAAAAAAUAAAUUCUCUAAAAUUAUAUUUUCUUAAAAAUAUACUUGCAAAAAAAAUAUUUUAAGACUUUAAUCUAAUUUAGUAAGGGUCCCCAUCCAAACCGGCACGUGGAUGGUACCAUCUCCAAACUUGUCAUCAUUUUCAAUUCAUGUAAAUGAGGAUAUUGCAGGAGAUUAUACAUCAUCGGAUCGACCUUUUGGUGUCAAAAAAGUGAAAUUGAAGAAAAAAUUUUGAUGAAUCUUUUUUAUUAGCUCUGAAAUGCUUACAUGCGGAUAAUGAAAAGCUUAUGGAAUCGUUGGCGAAUGCAACUGCAGAAAGAGAGAAGGGAAGGCUAAUGAAAAGUAGAGCUUUGGACUUAAAGGAAUUUAAAGAAGAAAAUAAAAUUUUACUGCUCGAUUUAAAUUCUAUUUCCGAUCCAAUUGCUCGUGAAAUGUUUCACCAAGAAAAAAUUCGAAUAUUAGAGAAAAGAGCUCAGCGUCAACAACCACCACCAUCAUCUGCAUCUAAUGUAUAUGAUCAAUAUCUCAAUAAUAUUGCUGGAAUCGGGUCUGACCUUCCAGAAUAUUAAAUAUUUAAUGUACUAUUGAUGAUUGUAUUUUAAAUUAAUAUAUAUUAUUCAAUUAUAAUAUAUGUGUUACUCUAUUUUUUUAUAUAAUAUAUUAUAAAUAAAUUAAUUUAUCAUAAAUACUAUUUAUAAUUGAAAAUAUAUUAAUUUAAAUUAAAUUUUAAUAAUUAUAAAAAUAUAAAAUAAAUUAAAAAUAUAAUAAAUUAUGAGAAUAAAAAAAAUUAGACUUAAUUGAAAAUAUAUAUAAGUUUUGGAUUAUAUAUAAAUUAGAAAAAAAAAACUAAAAUGGCAUUGCUACAGUAUCAUGCCAUGUUUGGUGUGACACUGUAGCGCAGUACUAAAAUCCCAAUAAAUUUUGGUGCUGCAUUGGAGGAUUAUCUCCAACGCUAAAUUGAAAAUUAGCGUAGCGUUGGAAAUGACCUAAUGUAAUUAUAACUAAGAAUUUAACUAAUAAAUUUUAUCCCGUAUAUGUUAUCAAAUUUAUUACUAAACUUUAUCAUCAAAUUAAUAAAUAAAAAAUAUUAAAUUUACUAACAAAUGUGAUUCGUCACUAAAUCCGCUAAUAAAUUUAAAAUGAAAUUUUGUAUAAAAUUUUUAAUUUUUUAAAUAUUUAUCAACAAAUUUAUUAAAUAUUUUUUUUUAAAUUUAGUAAUGAAUUACAAAAUUAUUGCUAAAUCCAUUAUUAAUUCACAUUUAUAAAUAUAACACUACAUUCUCUCUUUAUUAUCAUUCAUGUAUUUUUUUUCAUUCUUUCAUUUUCUUUAUUUUUUUAUUAUUUUCUUUCAUUUUAUAUUCAUUUAUUUCAUUUUCUAUUAUAAAAUCUUAUAAAUAAAAUUUUAAAGGAGAAUAAAAUUUUUAACCACCAUAUAAAAUUUUUUAAAAUCUAAAUUCAUCCUACAAUUAAAAAAAAAUUGUUGGUGACCAUCACAUCACAUGUAAUACGCAUGGCAGAUAUUUUAGUGUGAGAAAUUAAUGUUUCCUUAAAGUCCGGUCUGUUACAAAUAAUAUCACGGAUAAAGUGGAUAUGGUUAAAUUUAAUUGAUAUAAUUUUAAAAUAAUAUUUAUUUUAAUAAAUUAUUUUAUUAAUUAAAUAAAAUUUUAAAAAUUAUCUUUUAAUUUAUUAUUAACCUUUCUAAACUUAGUCCAUUGAUUAAAAUCGUAAUUUAUCUUAAAAUUUUAGUUUUAUUAUUCAAAAAAUAUAUAUUAAGGGGUUUAGGUUUAUAUAUUCAAUAGGAGAAAUUGAAAUUUAUAAAAUUUAUUAAUUUAUUUUUAUUUCAAAAUUACUUAAUAAAAUAAUACAUGUAUUAAGUCUCUGAAUUUUAUGUAAUUUAUUAAUUUAAUUUUAUUUUAAAAUUAUUUAAUUAAAAUAUUUUAUAUUAAAAAAUUAUUAGUUAAUUUCUUUUAAUUUUAAUAAAUAAAAAUCUAACAACCUGAUAUAGAAAAUAAUAAAAAGAAUGUGGAGAAAAUAGUAAUAAUCACUUUAUCUACAAAAUAGAUAUAUGUAGUUUUAAAGACUACUGCAGAGUUGCUUGUCCAAAAUCAGAAGUUGCUCAAAAUUCAAUGGCUAUCAUAUUCGGGACUCCAGAUAUAGUAGCUGCCUUUUUAUCUUUUCUUUUUCUUUUUCUUCUUCUAUGGCCUUGGUGGUGUAGUAGAAUCACAAACUCCAUACUCAUCGACUGGCCUGUUUUUGGGAUGAUUCCAGAGCUUCUUUACAAUCUCUCUCGUGUCCAUGAUUUUGCCACUUUUCUUCUUCAACAAAGCAGAGGCACAUUUUUUUUCAAAGGACCAUGGUUUAGUGGUAUGGAUUUUUUGUUGGUUGGCGAUCCCAUGAACGUCCAUCACAUUCUAAGCAAGAACUUCGCAAACUAUCCCAAAGGUCCUGAGUUCAAGCAGAUUUUUGAACCUCUGGGAGAUGGAAUUUUCAAUUCUGAUUUUGAUAAUUGGAGCAUUCAAAGGCGGAUAUUUCAUUGCUUAUUAC